rnacentral:ncRNA from 1 species
GUCCAAGGCAAAACUGUGGAAACGCAGUGGCGCAAAGCUAGAGGGGCUACCGCAGCAGAACAUCGCUGUCAUGCCAGCCAGUUGCCGA